rnacentral:rRNA from 1 species
GACGAACCGGACAAACGUUAUUCGGAAUUACUGGGCUUAAAGGGUACGUAGGCGGUCCGGUAAGUGGGGUGUGAAAUCCCUCGGCUCAACCGAGGAACUGCGCCCCAUACUGCCGGACUUGAGGGAGACAGAGGUAAGCGGAACUGAUGGUGGAGCGGUGAAAUGCGUUGAUAUCAUCAGGAACACCGGUGGCGAAAGCGGCUUACUGGGUCUCUUCUGACGCUGAGGUACGAAAGCUAGGGGAGCGAACGGGAUUAGAAACCCCCGUAGUCC